rnacentral:piRNA from 1 species
UUUGAUGUUUAGACCCCUCGGGUAGUUCCU